rnacentral:rRNA from 1 species
AUGGGAAGAACAUGUGUGUUUGUUCAUCAUGGGGACAAAGACGCCUUUUUGAAAGGCAAUAAAGAACCGGACCCGGAUGAGCUUGACAUUGUGUUUGAUAGUAGUCCUAGCUAUGCGGAGCUCUUGCAACAAGUUAGGAAAGAUUUGAAUUGGAUGGACCCUAGUGAUAUCAUUGAGUUGGAGGGAAGGCAUAAUGUUGGUUUUGGAAUGCACAUCCGUUGGAAGACAAUGCGUGUAAACUCGGAGCAACGUUGGGUUGCAUACAAGGAGACGGUGGUCGAAUCACUAGACAAGGCUCUUGAGUUAUUUGCAACGAAGAAGGUUGAGUCAAGUUUGCAUUUGGACUUGAACCGGAACCCCUCCCCUUUGGUUGCUAGUAGCCCCCACCCUUGA